AGUGAACGCUGGCGGUAGGCCUAACACAUGCAAGUCGAACGGCAGCACAGUAAGAGCUUGCUCUUACGGGUGGCGAGUGGCGGACGGGUGAGGAAUACAUCGGAAUCUACUUUUUCGUGGGGGAUAACGUAGGGAAACUUACGCUAAUACCGCAUACGACCUACGGGUGAAAGCAGGGGAUCUUCGGACCUUGCGCGAUUGAAUGAGCCGAUGUCGGAUUAGCUAGUUGGCGGGGUAAAGGCCCACCAAGGCGACGAUCCGUAGCUGGUCUGAGAGGAUGAUCAGCCACACUGGAACUGAGACACGGUCCAGACUCCUACGGGAGGCAGCGGUGGGGAAUAUUGGACAAUGGGCGCAAGCCUGAUCCAGCCAUACCGCGUGGGUGAAGAAGGCCUUCGGGUUGUAAAGCCCUUUUGUUGGGAAAGAAAAGCAGCAGGUUAAUACCCCGCUGUUCUGACGGUACCCAAAGAAUAAGUACCGGCUAACUUCGUG
rnacentral:rRNA from 1 species